rnacentral:lncRNA from 1 species
AUUUUAUCUUUGAUGAAGCUGAUAUAGUAAUUUGUUUCCGAUAUAAUGAAUAGGCCUAAACCACAUCACUUCAUUCGGCGAAAUCGAAAAAUCUGAUGCACCAAAGUCAAGAUAGUUAAUCGAAUGAUUUUUUUAUGUAUAAAAAAGAACGAUCAAACCAUUAUCUCUUGUGGCACCGUUAAAGUCCACAUUUCCUCUAAAGUCCACAACACCGCUCAAGUCCACAACAAAUUAUUGAAGUUUAUUUCUAAUAACAGAUAGAAAAAAAUAGAAAGCAUAAAAAAGGGCC